UACCCAUGAUGAGGGCAAUCUCUUAGCAAUUGCAUAAAUCGCCCCCACGCUUCAUACAAUGUUUCCCCUUGCCCUGUACGAACCCCACAAUUUUACUCAUGAGCUC